rnacentral:rRNA from 1 species
GACGAACGCUGGCGGCGUGCUUAACACAUGCAAGUCGAACGGAAAGGCCCUGCUUUUGUGGGGUGCUCGAGUGGCGAACGGGUGAGUAACACGUGAGUAACCUGCCCUUGACUUUGGGAUAACUUCAGGAAACUGGGGCUAAUACCGGAUAGGAGCUCCUGCUGCAUGGUGGGGGUUGGAAAGUUUCGGCGGUUGGGGAUGGACUCGCGGCUUAUCAGCUUGUUGGUGGGGUAGUGGCUUACCAAGGCUUUGACGGGUAGCCGGCCUGAGAGGGUGACCGGCCACAUGGGGACUGAGAUACGGCCCAGACUCCUGCGGGGGGGAGAGGGGGGGAAUUUGGCCAAAUGGGCGGAAGCCUGAUGCAGCAACGCGGGGGGGGGGAUGGCGGCUUUCGGGUUGUAAACCUCUUUCGCCUGUGACGAAGCGCGAGUGACGGAAAUGGGUAAAGAAGCACCGGCUAACUACGG